AUUGAACGCUGGCGGCAUGCCUUACACAUGCAAGUCGAACGGCAGCACGGGGGCAACCCUGGUGGCGAGUGGCGGACGGGUGAGUAAUGCAUCGGAACGUGCCCUGAAGUGGGGGAUAACGCAGCGAAAGCUACGCUAAUACCGCAUAUUCUGUGAGCAGGAAAGCAGGGGAUCGCAAGACCUUGCGCUUUGGGAGCGGCCGAUGUCGGAUUAGCUAGUUGGUGGGGUAAAGGCCUACCAAGGCGACGAUCCGUAGCGGGUCUGAGAGGAUGAUCCGCCACACUGGGACUGAGACACGGCCCAGACUCCUACGGGAGGCAGCAGUGGGGAAUUUUGGACAAUGGGCGAAAGCCUGAUCCAGCCAUGCCGCGUGAGUGAAGAAGG
rnacentral:rRNA from 1 species